rnacentral:rRNA from 1 species
GAUGAACGCUGGCGGCGUGCUUAACACAUGCAAGUCGAACGAGGGUUAUCGGUUGAAGUUUUCGGAUGGAAACUGAUAAUUCCUAGCGGCGGACGGGUGAGUAACGCGUAGGCAACCUGCCCCUUGCAGAGGGAUAGCCUCGGGAAACCGGGAUUAAAACCUCAUAAUGCGUAGCAUAGACAUCUAUGUUACGCCAAAGAUUUAUCGGCAAGGGAUGGGCCUGCGUCUGAUUAGUUAGUUGGUGGGGUAACGGCCUACCAAGGCAGCGAUCAGUAGCCGACCUGAGAGGGUGAUCGGCCACAUUGGAACUGAGACACGGUCCAAACUCC